GAUGAACGCUGGCGGCGUGCCUAAUACAUGCAAGUCGAGCGAACAGACGAGGAGCUUGCUCCUCUGACGUUAGCGGCGGACGGGUGAGUAACACGUGGAUAACCUACCUAUCAGACUGGGAUAACUUCGGGAAACCGGAGCUAAUACCGGAUAAUAUAUUGAACCGCAUGGUUCAAUAGUGAAAGACGGCUUUGCUGUCACUUAUAGAUGGAUCCGCGCCGCAUUAGCUAGUUGGUAAGGUAACGGCUUAUCAAGGCAACCAUGCGUAGCCGACCGGAGAGGGUGAUCGGCCACACUGGAACUGAAACGCGGACCAGGGUCCUGCGGUAGGCACCAGUAGGGAAUCUUCCGCAAUAGGCGGGAGCCUUACGGAGCAGCGCCGCGUGAGAUGUAGAAGUCCUCGGAUCGUAAAACUCUGUUUUUAGGUAAGAACAAAUUUGUAAGUAACUAUGCACGUCUUGACGGUACCUAGUCAGAAAGCCACGGCUAACUACGUG
rnacentral:rRNA from 1 species